CGGCUGCUCAGUAACACGUAGUCAACUUACCCUAUGGACGAGGAUAAUCUCGGGAAACUGAGCAUAAUACUCGAUAGAUCAUAAUGCCUGGAAUGGUUUAUGGUUGAAAUGAUUCAUCGCCAUAGGAUGGGACUGCGGCCUAUCAGCUUGUUGGUGAGGUAAUGGCCCACCAAGGCGAUUACAGGUACGGGCUCUGAGAGGAGAAGCCCGGAGAUGGGUACUGAGACAAGGACCCAGGCCCUAUGGGGCGCAGCAGGCGAGAAAACUUUGCAAUGUGCGAAAGCACGACAAGGUUAAUCCGAGUGAUUUCUGCUAAAGAAAUCUUUUGCAAGUCAUAAAACCACUAGUGAAUAAGGGGUGGGCAAGUUCUGGUGUCAGCCGCCGCGGUAAAACCAGCACCUCAAGUGGUCAGGAGGAUUAUUGGGCCUAAAGCAUCCGUAGCCGGCUCUGUAAGUUUUCGGUUAAAUCCAUGUGCUCAACGCAUGGGCUGCCGAAAAUACUGCAUAGCUAGGGAGUGGGAGAGGUAGACGGUACUCGGUAGGAAGGGGUAAAAUCCUUUGAUCUAUCGAUGACCACCUGUGGCGAAGGCGGUCUACCAGAACACGUUCGACGGUGAGGGAUGAAGGCUGGGGGAGCAAACCGGAUUAGAUACCCGGGUAGUCCCAGCUGUAAACGAUGCAGACUCGAUGAUGCAUUGGCAUAUAGCCAGUGCAGUGUCGCAGGGAAGCCGUUAAGUCUGCCGCCUGGGAAGUACGUACGCAAGUAUGAAACUUAAAGGAAUCGGCGGGGGAGCAG
rnacentral:rRNA from 1 species